GCCACCUCCAUGGCAACAGAUGCUGUCAAAAGCCUCAGGUUCGCUUGGAGGAUGAGGAGUGAAUUGCCAGGAACCAGCAAGCGAGGCUGAAGAACAGAAAUCUGAAGACGGCAGGCAGCUUCAAUACGUGGGAAAAACAGUGAAAAAGCCUAGCGCCACCAGGAUGGAGUAGGCCGUUAACGUAGAUUUGAAAGGGUAGUUCCCAGGUAAUGGAGAGAAGGGGCGAUGGAGAGAGAAGGCUCAUCUUACUCUGAGGCAUCGAGGGACCUGAACCACCUCUUGCGUGGACGAAUGCUCUCCCUGUAGGAGAAAAAGGCAAUUAACGUGUGUGGCGAAGAGCGAGAAGAAACAGCAACCGUGACAGGAAUCGUUAGCUCUGGCUUCUUUUGUGUGGGUACCGCAAGGUCAGAGCUUGAACAAGGGGAAAACCGGCAUAUGUCUUCGCUAACAAGCAUGACAACCAAGUAGCUGAGUCGAUUCAUGUUGCGAUCCAGAGAAACCCUAGUCUUUGACAGGAUCUGGGAAGUGAGGAUUCUGUUUUCCACGACUGCAAACUACCCUUCUUGUUCCCUACCUCUUCUCGAUGUGUGUGCUGCACUGACGUUGAUCUUGGACUGGCGUCCUCUUUGCAUACGUACGCGUUCUCUUCUGCGUCACAUCUCUCAAAAGGAGGCUCUGCACCAUCUCUGUUUCGAACGGAGGCUGUUAGGGAAAAGAGGAAGUCUUUUGGGUCAUCGAAACGAGAGUGGAGUGGGGAAAGCUGAUAUCCGUGUUCUGCUGAAAGACCCACCAACCCUGUCUUCCUCGUUAAAAAUCCAAAAGAAGCGCUUCAGAGAAGAGCUAGAGAACAGGAAAAGAAGUGUAGGUGCCGUGCGGUGGCGUAGCCACAGCCCCGGGCGCCCGUCUCGGCGAGGAAGCGGCUGGAGAUGGCUUGGUCCGGUCAGGGUCUUUCCAUCAGCAAGUUCCUUUGCGGUGAUUCAGCGUUCCUCCCCUUGGCUGCUGAGCCGCGUGCAAGCCUCCAAGCGCUCCUGCCUGUAACGUGACCCCUGAGAAGUGUCGAGCAAGCUCCCUGCCCGCCAGGACUGCUGUGGCACGGCUGGAGAUAACCAGUGUGGCAUGAGAGCUGAGCGAAAUCUGCAGAGCAGCGGGAGCAAGCAGGAGACAGCUAAGAAACGGAGGCCUUUACUGAAGGCUCAGUGGGGCAAAAAGCUUCUUGAGUUCAGCCAGCUCGUGGUCCAUCCUCCCUAACAUCAUCUGCUGAGCUGUUUCUCCCACCAAGGAGACCUUACCUACCUCUGUGGUGCGGGACAGCAAUAUCCCUAUGCUACUCUUUCUACACCAAUAGCAGCAGCUGGGGGAGCCUCACCCCCCCAAGUCACGCUAGCACCGAGCACAUCUGGCUGCACGGGAAGCGCCUGAUCACUGACACUUUUCCUCUUCUGCAACUGCAAAGAGUUUGGAUCGUGGUAUCGGGCAUUCGCAUGUGACUCACACGUCAGGAAAUGAAGGAGGAGGAGCAGACGGCGGCAGCAUUUCUGAAGCAAGCAAGCACUGAAGGCGUGCUCAGUAGUAGCUCAGUCCCUUGCCAGUGCCACUGUUGUGACAUCUACAGCUUGUGGUGUCACCUGGUCAGCGUGGACAGAGGCGCAGUUCACAUGGCAGCACAUUGAACAACAGUCCCAUCUCAAAGUGCUGUUGUCGCCUAGUGGUCCUGUGCUGGUCCGGAGAUGUGUCGGCCUUACGGACUGCAGAAACUUCAUUCAGUUAUAGUCUUGAUCUGCACAGAUGCAAAAGCUGCUGCUGGACCUCAUUUCUUUAGGGCACCUUUUGUAGCUAAGUACCAUGCGCACCCCGUGGAUGUUCUUGCAGGAAGGCUGGCACCGCAGAGUUUGGCAGCAGCACAUGCCCCUUCAGUCCUGCCAUGCCUAGCCACAGCAGGAUUGCUCCUGCCCACGGCCUCCUUCUCCUCCUCUGUACUAAAGGGCUUCUCCGUGCUCGGCUACGGCAGAGGUGUCCAAGUCACUGCCCCACUUUACUGCGCCUGGGCCCUGGAGGACACCAGCUUUGCAAGAGGUGGUCCAAAGGUGCCGACAAGGUGCAGCAGGAGAGGGCGGGAGCACAAAUGUCCAGACAAUACUAUCAAGACUGCUAAAGCUGUCAGUACAACCACAAACAUGGCUGACCCUGGCGAGAGGUGUCACUAGCAGGGGGGAAUCUCGACUCUGUCCUUGCUGAAGACUUAGAAGCCCAUGCCACUAGAAAGAUGAGCCCAUGCCAUGAACAGCCUUUGCUGCUAUUCAGCAUGAAAAUGGUUUUAGUGGUUGUGCAUCUAGAAUGACACUUUUACUGCUCAAGAAGAGCUGGCCUGUUCGAUGUUAUCCGUGUGUGUGUGUGUGUGUGUGUGUAUAUAUAUAUAUAUAUAUAUAUAUAUAUAUAUAUAUAUAUUUUUACAAAUNNNNNNNNNNNNNNNNUAUAUAUAUAUAUAUAUAUAUGCUAUUACAAAUUGUAUUUGUAUUAUUCAGAAUAUGGCCAGAAGCGGCUAUUAAUUUUGCAACACCUCUGAUAGUCAACAUUUAUUUUUUCCGUUGUCUAAAAAGUUGUGCCCCUUGUAGUUAAUUUUUCUUACUCUGCAACCUGAAUAAGACCUUUUCCAGUGAACUAUAUAAGCAACGGGAUGCAUUGGUGUGACUAUUUAGUAGUGCUGUGAACAGUGAAGUACAAAACUGAGUCUUGAUCAGCUUGAUACAAAAUGUCCGGCAUCUAAAUGUCACCGAAUGAGAAAAAUGCUUCAGUCUUGAGUUAAUGAAUUGCUUCACAUAAAGCCAACUAACUAUAAGGCAGACUUAGAUGUCCAUAUGAAACAGUACCUGUGUCCAGUGAUGAACCAAACAUUCUAUAAAAUGCUACCAUAUAAAGAUGUUAAUAAAAGCAUAGCUUCUUUACA
ensembl:lncRNA